rnacentral:tRNA from 1 species
ACCUAGCUGGCUUAGUGGCCAGAGCGUACAGCUCUUGAUCUCAGGGCUGUGGGUUUGAGCCCCAUGCUGGGUG